GAAACCUGCCCAGAAGCGGGGGAUAACACCCUGGAAACAGAUGCUAAUACCGCAUAACAACUUGGACCGCAUGGUCCGAGCUUGAAAGAUGGCUUCGGCUAUCACUUUUGGAUGGUCCCGCGGCGUAUUAGCUAGAUGGUGGGGUAACGGCUCACCAUGGCAAUGAUACGUAGCCGACCUGAGAGGGUAAUCCGGCCACAUUGGGACUGAGACACGGCCCAAACUCCUACGGGAGGCAGCAGUAGGGAAUCUUCCACAAUGGACGAAAGUCUGAUGGAGCAACGCCGCGUGAGUGAAGAAGGGUUUCGGCUCGUAAAACUCUGUUGUUAAAGAAGAACAUAUCUGAGAGUAACUGUUCAGGUAUUGACGGUAUUUAACCAGAAAGCCACGGCUAACUACGUGCCAGCAGCCGCGGUAAUACGUAGGUGGCAAGCGUUGUCCGGAUUUAUUGGGCGUAAAGCGAGCGCAGGCGGUUUUUUAAGUCUGAUGUGAAAGCCUUCGGCUCAACCGAAGAAGUGCAUCGGAAACUGGGAAACUUGAGUGCAGAAGAGGACAGUGGAACUCCAUGUGUAGCGGUGAAAUGCGUAGAUAUAUGGAAGAACACCAGUGGCGAAGGCGGCUGUCUGGUCUGUAACUGACGCUGAGGCUCGAAAGUAUGGGUAGCAAACAGGAUUAGAUACCCUGGUAGUCCAUACCGUAAACGAUGAAUGCUAAGUGUUGGAGGGUUUCCGCCCUUCAGUGCUGCAGCUAACGCAUUAAGCAUUCCGCCUGGGGAGUACGGCCGCAAGGCUGAAACUCAAAGGAAUUGACGGGGGCCCGCACAAGCGGUGGAGCAUGUGGUUUAAUUCGAAGCUACGCGAAGAACCUUACCAGGUCUUGACAUACUAUGCAAAUCUAAGAGAUUAGACGUUCCCUUCGGGGACAUGGAUACAGGUGGUGCAUGGUUGUCGUCAGCUCGUGUCGUGAGAUGUUGGGUUAAGUCCCGCAACGAGCGCAACCCUUAUUAUCAGUUGCCAGCAUUAAGUUGGGCACUCUGGUGAGACUGCCGGUGACAAACCGGAGGAAGGUGGGGAUGACGUCAAAUCAUCAUGCCCCUUAUGACCUGGGCUACACACGUGCUACAAUGGAUGGUACAACGAGUUGCGAACUCGCGAGAGUAAGCUAAUCUCUUAAAGCCAUUCUCAGUUCGGAUUGUAGGCUGCAACUCGCCUACAUGAAGUCGGAAUCGCUAUGUAAUCGCGGAUCAG
rnacentral:rRNA from 1 species